rnacentral:rRNA from 1 species
AAAUUGAAGAGUUUGAUCAUGGCUCAGAUUGAACGCUGGCGGCAGGCCUAACACAUGCAAGUCGAACGGUAACAGGAAGCAGCUUGCUGCUUCGCUGACGAGUGGCGGACGGGUGAGUAAUGUCUGGGAAACUGCCUGAUGGAGGGGGAUAACUACUGGAAACGGUGGCUAAUACCGCAUAACGUCGCAAGACCAAAGAGGGGGACCUUUGGGCCUCUUGCCAUCAGAUGUGCCCAGAUGGGAUUAGCUUGUUGGUGAGGUAACGGCUCACCAAGGCGACGAUCCCUAGCUGGUCUGAGAGGAUGACCAGCCACACUGGAACUGAGACACGGUCCAGACUCCUACGGGAGGCAGCAGUGGGGAAUAUUGCACAAUGGGCGCAAGCCUGAUGCAGCCAUGCCGCGUGUAUGAAGAAGGCCUUCGGGUUGUAAAGUACUUUCAGCGGGGAGGAAGGUGUUGUGGUUAAUAACCGCAGCAAUUGACGUUACCCGCAGAAGAAGCACCGGCUAACUCCGUGCCAGCAGCCGCGGUAAUACGGAGGGUGCAAGCGUUAAUCGGAAUUACUGGGCGUAAAGCGCACGCAGG